AUGCUUGCUUUGCCAACACAUAUACUAAAAUUGGAAUGAUACAGAGAGGAUUGGCAUGGGUCCUGUGCAAAGAAGACAUGCAAAUUUGUGAAUAUUCCCCUAUUAAA
ensembl:snRNA U6 U6 spliceosomal RNA